AACGGGGGGGUCCCCAUCCCCGAGCCCCGGGGCUCGGUCCCCCCUCCCCCGGAUCGGGAUGAUCGAGGUCUCUCGGGCGAAGGACAGGGAGGGACGGAGAGGCGGAGCGGAAGAGAGAGACGGAGAGAGAGGAGGGAGCAACCCCGGGCGGAGGGGGCCCGGGCCGGGGCCGGGAAGCCGGGUCACUGUCCGGUGGUCAGCCGGAGCCUCCGGACGGGGCCGGGCUGGGAGACGUCCGGCUCCUGCCCCCGUUGCGGCCUGCUUUUCUUCCCCUCCGGGGGGUCGGCCGGCGAGGGCAUCCCCCUUCCUGCGGGGAAACUGAGGCCCGGAGGGGCGGGGCGGAGAGGGCGGAGGCGAUCCCCUCCCUCCUGGGCCGCUACUGUCCGAGCCCCGGGUCCGGGCGGGGGCGGUGGGCCGGCCGGGGCUGCGGCCGGGGGUGGCGGGCUGCGGGGCCGGGCCGGGGGGAGGGAGGGCUCAUCCGGGCCCCGGGCCCCGCGCUCCGCUCCGCCGGCAGCACCGCGGCCAGCGCCGCCCCGCUCCGCUCCGCCCCGCUCCGCCCCGCCCCGCUCCGCUCCGCGCCCCCUCCGCGCCCCGCCGGGCCCCGGGCCCCCGGACUCACGCCCGGCCUCUCACACCUCCCGCAUCUUCGCCCUCCCUCCCUCCCUCCCUCUGCUUCUCCCCCUCUCCUUUUCUCUCCCUCUCCCCUUCUCUCCUCUCUCCCCUUCUCCCUCCCUCCCUCCUCUUUCCCUCUCUCCUUCUCUCUGCUCUCUCCCCUUCUCCUUCUCUCUCCCUCUCUCUGCUCUCUCCCCUUCUCCCUCCCCUCCUCCCUCCCUGUCUCCUCUCUUUCCCUCUCUCCUCCCCCCCUUCUCCCUCCCUCUCUCCUCUCUCCCCUUCUCCCUCUCUCCCCUCUUUCCCUCUCCCUGGCCCCCCCCCCCCCCCGCCUCCUUUCUCCCUCUCUCUUUCGCCUCCCACUAUGAACUGACGCCCUCCUCCCCUUUUCCCUCCCCCUCCCAAACGGCCUCUCUAGCAGCGGGGCUUCACUUUAGCAAGCGGCAUCCGGAACGCUCUUUCCAUCUGCAAAGAAAGCGCAGGGCCAAAGGGGUGGGGAGGAGAAGGAGAGGCCCCCAAACGAACAGCCACCCACCCGCAGACACACACAUACACACCCCCUCAAAAAACACCCCCGGAGCCACCCUCGGCCCUAGAGAGGAGAAACGCACGUACACUCAGGCUCGCAGGGUCGGCCUGGCAGUUGCCACUAGCUCUCUGCCUGCACCGUUUUCCCGACAUCUAAAAGAAGGGAGUCUAGAGAUCUCUGGAGCUCGGCAGCUUCAGGCGAAUAACAUCCCAGCGUCCGCGGCUAUAUAUUUUGCAAGCUCUCUCUCUCUCUCUCUCUCUCUCUCUUUUCUUUCUUUCUUUAUGGCGGCGGGAGUGGGGCGGGAGGGGAGACGGUGGCUUAUUCUCUUCCCAUUGCCUUCCUCUUCCUCGGCCCCGGUUAGCUCCACUACCUCGCGGGGACCAUCCGCAGGCCAGCCGGUGUCCGGGAGUUUCCGGAGACCCCCCAGCGUCCGAUUCGGGACCCCGAAAGGUCAGAGGAGAUGCGCCUUCCCUCUCGCACACCUGGGCAUCCGUUUUCUCGGUCGAGGACUGCGCGCUGCAGCCUUGGCAGGAGCCCCCAGACGGAGCACAGAGAGCGCUCGGCCAAAAGCUAGUGAUGUCAUCCGUGCAACGUGA
rnacentral:lncRNA from 1 species